GUCCGAUUUAGCCAUGCUAGUUGUGCGGGUUUAGACCCGCAGCGGAAAGCUCAGUAACACGUGGCCAAGCUACCCUGUGGACGGGAAUACUCUCGGGAAACUGAGGCUAAUCCCCGAUAACGCUUUGCUCCUGGAAGGGGCAAAGCCGGAAACGCUCCGGCGCCACAGGAUGCGGCUGCGGUCGAUUAGGUAGACGGUGGGGUAACGGCCCACCGUGCCCAUAAUCGGUACGGGUUGUGAGAGCAAGAGCCCGGAGACGGAAUCUGAGACAAGAUUCCGGGCCCUACGGGGCGCAGCAGGCGCGAAACCUUUACACUGUACGAAAGUGCGAUAAGGGGACUCCGAGUGUGAAGGCAUAGAGCCUUCACUUUUGUACACCGUAAGGUGGUGCACGAAUAAGGACUGGGCAAGACCGGUGCCAGCCGCCGCGGUAAUACCGGCAGUCCGAGUGGAUGGCCGAUCUUAUUGGGCCUAAAGCGUCCGUAGCUGGCUGAACAAGUCCGUUGGGAAAUCUGUCCGCUUAACGGGCAGGCGUCCAGCGGAAACUGUUCAGCUUGGGACCGGAAGACCUGAGGGGUACGUCUGGGGUAGGAGUGAAAUCCUGUAAUCCUGGACGGACCGCCGGUGGCGAAAGCGCCUCAGGAGAACGGAUCCGACAGUGAGGGACGAAAGCUAGGGUCUCGAACCGGAUUAGAUACCCGGGUAGUCCUAGCUGUAAACGAUGUCCGCUAGGUGUGGCGCAGGCUACGAGCCUGCGCUGUGCCGUAGGGAAGCCGAGAAGCGGACCGCCUGGGAAGUACGUCUGCAAGGAUGAAACUUAAAGGAAUUGGCGGGGGAGCACUACAACCGGAGGAGCCUGCGGUUUAAUUGGACUCAACGCCGGACAUCUCACCAGCCCCGACAGUAGUAAUGACGGUCAGGUUGAUGACCUUACCCGAGGCUACUGAGAGGAGGUGCAUGGCCGCCGUCAGCUCGUACCGUGAGGCGUCCUGUUAAGUCAGGCAACGAGCGAGACCCGCACUCCUAAUUGCCAGCAGUACCCUUUGGGUAGCUGGGUACAUUAGGUGGACUGCCGCUGCCAAAGCGGAGGAAGGAACGGGCAACGGUAGGUCAGUAUGCCCCGAAUGGGCUGGGCAACACGCGGGCUACAAUGGUCGAGACAAUGGGAAGCCACUCCGAGAGGAGGCGCUAAUCUCCUAAACUCGAUCGUAGUUCGGAUUGAGGGCUGAAACUCGCCCUCAUGAAGCUGGAUUCGGUAGUAAUCGCGUGUCAGCAGCGCGCGGUGAAUACGUCCCUGCUCCUUGCACACACCGCCCGUCAAAUCACCCGAGUGGGGUUCGGAUGAGGCCGGCAUGCGCUGGUCAAAUCUGGG
rnacentral:rRNA from 1 species